UACGUAGGUGACAAGCGUUGUCCGGAUUUACUGGGCGUAAAGAGCGCGCAGGCGGUCGUUCAAGUCGAGUGUGAAAGCCCCCGGCUCAACUGGGGAGGGUCACUCGAUACUGAUCGACUCGAAGGCAGGAGAGGGAAGUGGAAUUCCCGGUGUAGUGGUGAAAUGCGUAGAUAUCGGGAGGAACACCAGUGCGAAGGCGACUUCCUGGCCUGUUCUUGACGCUGAGGCGCGAAAGCUAGGGGAGCAAACGGGG
rnacentral:rRNA from 1 species